CGUAGGAGGCAAGCGUUAUCCGGAUUCACUGGGCGUAAAGCGCGUGCAGGCGGUGCGGUAAGUUAGGCGUGAAAUCUCCCGGCUCAACUGGGAGAGGUCGUCUAAUACUACCGUACUAGAGAGCAGGAGAGGAAGAUGGAAUUCCCGGUGUAGUGGUGAAAUGCGUAGAUAUCGGGAGGAACACCAGUGGCGAAGGCGAUCUUCUGGUCUGUUUCUGACGCUCAGACGCGACAGCUAGGGUAGUAAACGGGAUUAGAGACCCCGGUAAUCCUAGCCGUAAACGAUGUGAACUUGGCGUUGGUGGGUUAAACUCCAUCAGUGCCGCAGCAAACGCGAUAAGUUCACCGCCUGGGGACUACGGCCGCAAGGUUA
rnacentral:rRNA from 1 species